UACGUAGGGGGCUAGCGUUGUCCGGAAUCAUUGGGCGUAAAGCGCGUGUAGGCGGCCCGGUAAGUCCGCUGUGAAAGUCCAGGGCUCAACCCUGGGAUGCCGGUGGAUACUGUCGGGCUCGAGUCCGGAAGAGGCGAGUGGAAUUCCUAGUGUAGAGGUGAAAUUCGUAGAUAUUAGGAAGAACACCAGUGGCGAAGGCGGCUCACUGGCCCGGUACUGACGCUGAGGCGCGAAAGCGUGGGGAGCAAACAGG
rnacentral:rRNA from 1 species